GCCUCGCCGUAAACUUUAACUCACACCCAAAUCGCCAGGGAACUACGAGCAAAGCUUAAAACCCAAAGGACUUGACGGUACCCCACAUCCACCUAGAGGAGCCUGUCCUAUAAUCGAUACCCCCCGUUUAACCUCACCACUUUUAGCUUAUCAGCCUGUAUACCUCCGUCGUCAGCUUACCACGUGAGCGUCUCUAGUGAGCUUGAUGUCCACUCGUCAAAACGUCAGGUCAAGGUGCAACUCAUAAAGUGGGAAGAGAUGGGCUACACUCUCUAACUUAGAAAAUACGAAAGACUAUUUAUGAAAUCUAGUCGGAAGGCGGAUUUAGAAGUAAAAAGAGGCUAGAAAACUCUCUUUAACAAGGCACUGGGGUGUGUACACACCGCCCGUCACCCUCCUCGAAGCCAAAAAUUAGUAUAUAACCAUUUAAAGCAGUAUUAGAAGAGGCAAGUCGUAACAUGGUAAGUAUACCGGAAGGUGUGCUUGGAAAC
rnacentral:rRNA from 1 species